rnacentral:lncRNA from 1 species
CAUAAUUCAGCCUAUAUCUCAAUUUUAAGCCUGGGUGGGAUUCUAAAAAGUCAGUUGAGAUUUAGCCAAGCCUCCUCCUCGCUGUGACAGAAACUUCACAAAAUAUCCUAUGGGAGCAGAUCCCUAGAGAGUGUGGCUGAGUCUCCUCAGCAUCUGUAGCCUUGGGAAAACUGGAUGCAUCAUCGACUCAGGGAACGCAAUCAGUGAGCGUCUUCUUGAAACGUUGAGACCCUGUAUGCGGUGGUUGGAAUGAGAACGGCCUCCCUAGACACUUAUCAUCUGCCCUGUGCGAUAGGAGGCUGGACCUUGGAGAUGUUCCUGGUAAAUGGCGGCAGUGGAUUUUCCUUCCUGUAAAACCAGAGGCAGUGAGCAGCCACAUUGGAUGAAAAGGGUUCAAUUUUUAACAAGCACAGUUUGACACAAAGAAUAUACCAAGAUGUCUG